UACGUAGGUGGCGAGCGUUAUCCGGAAUUAUUGGGCGUAAAGAGGGAGCAGGCGGCGCUAAAGGUCUGUGGUGAAAGACCGAAGCUCAACUUCGGUAAGCCAUGGAAACCAAAGGGCUAGAGUGUGUGAGAGGAUCGUGGAAUUCCAUGUGUAGCGGUGAAAUGCGUAGAUAUAUGGAGGAACACCAGUGGCGAAGGCGACGAUCUGGCGCACAACUGACGCUCAGUCCCGAAAGCGUGGGGAGCAAAUAGG
rnacentral:rRNA from 1 species